GUCCCUAUACAUGCCAUAACUUAAAAUGUUUUUAAUCACAAAAUACCGAGAUAAUCUAUUGAUAGUGUGAAACGAUCUCCAACGUCCUUACGAUCCCCGAAUUGGCUUGGUGAUUCUAUAAAAAGAAGGAAAAUAAAGGGAGUAAGCGUAAAGCUUAGUAAGUUUACAAGCAAAUAAAUAACAACAUUUAUCAUAAAUAAUUAUACUUAUAAAUUAUCAUCAAGUAUCAUGGUUGUUGCUUCUUCUUUACUUGCUCUCUUACUUGCUUACUUAAAUAACUCAUGAAUAUAACUUACUCCUCCCUUGCUUAAAUUUAUUUUUCUCAACUGAUAAUUGAGAUAUUCUUAACCCUUAUAACUCACCUGAGUCUAUUUAUUAUGCUUUUACCUGAACUUUCAUGUAACAUAGUGUCUUUACUAGCCCGUUGAACCACUUGGAAUACUAAGGAUACUCGGGUCUCCUGUCUGAUAUUAACAUGCCAAAGCCAUGUUCCAGACAUGGUCUUACAUGGGAUGUUUCCUGUACUGCAAAUGCCAUAUCUCAGAUAUGGCCUUACAUGAGAGUUUUCAUAUCGGUGCCCAUGCCAUGUCCCAGACAUGGUCUUACGGGGGACCUCUCAUCUCGGUGCCAACGCCAUGUCCUAGACAUGGUCUUACAUGGGACCUCUCAUAACCUCAAUAAUGCCAAUGCCAUGUCCCAGACAUGGUCUUACAUGGGAUCUCAUUCCCUUAAUGUCAUGACAUUUGUAUUCGAUACAUUCCUAAUAUUUCAAUAGGACUUUUUAACACUGAUUCUCUAUCAUCUCAUACUUGAGUCAACAUUAAAUAAUUUCUUGAAAUAAGUACAUAAUUGCUGGAAAAUAACAACAUUAAUAAUAAUUAUUAAAAUAUUUCAUUUAUUUACCGUAAACUUACCUCGGUACAAAAUACGAUCAAAUCUAACAACUUAGUCCUUAACCUUUUUCUUUCCCCGAUCUAACUUUGGAUUUCGUUCCUCUUGAUCUAAAAUAGAAAAUUUAGCUUAUUUAAUACUCACAUUCAUCAAAACAGUCAUUGACUCAAACUUUGAAAAAAUUAUGAUUUUGCCCCUAAACUUUUGCAUAUUUACACUUUUGCCCCAAAGCUCAAAAAUUAAACUUCAUCCCUUAUUCUUAUGUUUUAUGACAUGCUGAACAUCUUUCCCUUCUAUGCCAGCAUCAAAUUCCCACUCUAACAUUUACUAAUAAACAUUAGGUAUUUUUACCGAUUAUGUCGUUUUACUCGUUUUCACUUAAAAUCGCCUAGCAAAAGUUGUUUAACAUAACUUAAAACUUUAUAUUCUACCAUUAAACACCAAAAUAAACACAUUUCACCUAUGAGUAUUUUUCCAAAUAUGAACCCUAACAUGAAUUAAUGGUAAAAUAAGCUAAAUCGAGCUACGAUGACUCCAAAAACGUAAAAAACAUUAAAAACGGGGCUCGGAUGCACUUACUAUGAGCUUGAGAAAAAGAAGAAACCCUAGAUAUAGAGUCCCUUUAGGUUUCGACCCUUAUGAAGAAGAUGAGCACAUUUUGCCAUCUUUUUCCCUUUUAAUUCUUUUUAUCACCAAAUGACUAAAAUACCCUUCAUUAAAACUUUAGUUAUUUUUAUCUAUGCAUGCCCACUUUUUGUCCAUAAAAAUAUAAUGGUCUAAUUACCGUUUAAGAACCUCUACUUCAAUUAUGCACUUCAAUUAAAUCUUGUAUCAUCUAAAGCUCAUAUUUACCAACUUUUGCAAUUAAACCCUAAUAUGCAAUUCAGACAUGCAAUCGCUGAAAUUUCUUAUCGGUAUUCUAACACAUGCAUCCAAUCAAUCGGUAAAUCAUAAAAAUUAAUCACAAUAAGCUUUUCUAUCUCAAAUUUGUGGUUUCGCAACCACUGUUCCAUUUAGGCCCUAUUUUAGGAUGUUAUAAGCAUAACGUCCUUUGCUACUCCAAUAAGAUAAAUUGACAGAAGUCGAGAAAUCAUUAAUAGUCCACAACAAAUCUACAUGUAAAUAAAAGUUCUCCUUUCUCAAGACAUCAUAUGUUUCAACACCUGCCCAUAACUGUUUCAAAUUUUUAAUAAGUGUCUGCAUAUAAAUGUCAAUAUCAUUCCCAGGACCUUGCUCUCUAGGGAUAAUCAUAGAUAAGAUAAAAGAAGAUUGUUUCAUGAAAAUCCAUAGAGGAAAAUUGUAAAGAAAAAGCAAUACAGGCCAAGUACUGUACGAAGUACUCAUGAUUUUAAAAUGAUUAAAUCUAUCAUAUGCUAAACUAAGCCUCACAUUCCGAGGAUUGCUUGUAAAGCUUGGAAAUUUACUGUCAAAUGAUUUCCAAGCUAAAGAAUCCGCAAGAUACCUUAAUAACCCAUCACCGGUUCGUUCAUCGUGAUGCCACCUCAUAGACUCAGCUGUUUUUGACGACAUGAAAAACCUUUGAAGCCUUGGUAUUGGUGGAAAAUAUUGCAAAAUCUUUACUGGCUUCUUUCUUGAUUGCGACUCACCUUCUUCCUCAUUCAUAUCUUCUGCAUUUCUAUUCAUCCAACGAGAUUUACUGCAAACAUGAUAAGAUUGUUGGUUUUUCUGAUACCUCAAUACAACAUGCAGUCAUUUGGGCGACUAUGAAUUUUGUUUUACCCAAGGCCUAAAUCCUUUAUCAGUUUCUUCAUAUCUUUGCAUGAAUGAGAGAAUUUUGGAAACAGAAUCAUAACUCUCAAAAAUUCUAACAACAACGUAAAAGAGUUUUUGGUCCACCCUCCCAAACAUUUUAAGUGAAAAAGACAAAUGCAGAAGGACAAUUUUGAAAAUUUCAAUCUUUCAUAAAGUUCUUCAUUCAUUUCAUUAAGUAGCUUGUAGAACUUCGUCGCUUUUCCAUUUGGCUCUUGAUUAGGUACACUUCUUCUCGUUUUGGUAAAAGCAUUUCCACCAAUAUCAUAAUCAUCGGAUGUAAUAAUUUCAGGUGGAAACAACUGCAAACCAUGACUAUGCAUAUUAAAUGCAUCUCGCAACAUACCUUCGAUGUCAUCUUCUCUAACAGACUAAUGAUGAGCAUUAUGAGGAUAUGUCAGAUUAAUCAUUGAAGUGGUUCUACGAGGUUUACACUCUCUAUGGAAAAUUCAUUUUUUAUACCCUCAAAUAAAGCCAUCAACAAUUAGAUGUUCAUAGACAACUUCAUGAAUAUGCCAAUUGAUUUUGCCACACUUCUUACACGGGCAAAGAAUCAUAUUCUCUUGGUUUGCAUUUUGAAAUGAAAAAUUUAGAAAAUUUUGUUUUCCAUUUCGAUAGUCGUUGCUUACCCUUGACAAAUCCAUCUAACUCUUAUCUAUUUCGUAGUUCUUGAAGUGUAAAGUUGACAAUAAAUUAUGGUUACUUAAGUGUUCUAAAUAGAUUUAAAUCAUGUCAUUGUACUAAAAUAAAUAAUAUAUAUCAAGUAUCUAAUUUGGUUGUUUUCUAAUUCUCUAUUUCUAAUUAAAACAUAUAACUAAUAAAAUUACCACAACUAGAUCAAAUAAACAAGCAAUUUCAAAUUUUAAUUGAAUUAAAUUAAAACAUGUAAGUAAUAAGAGAUACUUACAAAUAAAAUUAAAGAGAGCUUAAAAUGGAGUUAUUUGAUUAGGCAAUUCAAAUGAGCCUAUCGAAUACUUCUUUUGUAGGGAUCCAAUUCACUGUUUCAAUUAAAAACAUUAUAAAUAAAUGGUAAGAUAAAUUGACAUUAGUAUUUAUUAAUUCAUAUUGUUUAAAUUUAUUGAAUCCCAAACAGUUAGAUGCAUAUGCAAAAUUGAAAAUUGGUGAAUGCAUAGUGGAAUUAAGUCUUGCACAUGUACCUGAGAUGCCGCACUCAGAUCUAAACUCUUCUCAACUAUUAACUUAGGAUGCAUAUGCCGCAUUCAAACCACAGUCAACAUCACCUCCAAAACAAAAUCAACUGCAUAAAAAAAGUUUUGAUAAAGAUAAUAUACUAUUGUAUAAAGUUGAUCCAUGCAUACCAAGUUGCUAAUUUAAAAAUAUUUCAGUUUCAGAAUCUACACAAGACCAGGUUCAAAGAUAAUACUUUAACUAAACUAAUAAAGGUAGAGAAAAUAAUUUAAAUAAUAGUGAUCAAGUUCUUAAUUGAUAUUGAUUUCAAGUUCGAUCAUUGAACAAAAUUUGAAUACACCCCAAUAAGACUUAAAUCUAAGAACUCAAAAUUCGCUUUUACUUCAUUGUUUUGAUUAAGUUGAAAUCCCAUCCACAGUGAUAAUAAUAAUCAAAUUUGACAAUGAUACCUUUAGUGCCUUUGUGCAACAAACUUAAAUACAAAUUUCUCUCUCAAAAAUUGACAAUGAAUCGAGUGUAAAAGAUAAACUAAAAAUAAAGUCUAAACAAAAUGAUCCAUAAUUCAACAUUCAAAGAAGGCAACUUGGAGAAGGAUAAAUAAACAGCUACUAAAACUAAGCAAAUAAAAAUAACUAAAAAUCACACAUAAACUAUAAACUAUUACCUGAUAUAGAGAAGCAAUACAUGUAAAAAAUAAUCUAGUCUGACCAAAAAGAGAAAGAAAUAGAAAAUUUGGAUCUUAGUAACUACCCUGCAAAACCUUGCUUUAUAUCAAGACUGGUCAAGGAUUCUCAAAUCAUUUCUUUAUCACAGUUCAACAUACCCCAGAUCUAAAUACCGUUGAGAGAACUUGCUGAUGUAAAAACUCAACUAUACUAGCCUUAGUCAACAAGGUCAGAUCAUGAGUGAAAUGGUUUUGCUUUUCUUAGUUACAUUUACUUUUUGGUAACUUUUGUAGAAGAAGAAAAAACAACAACAAAGUAGCAUAAGAAAUAUUGAACAGGCGCCUUAAUUUAUCCAAUAACAUCUAUGCUAGAUCAUUUCGUAUGCGAGUAUCAUCAGCAAUCAAACCACCACUCCAAAAAUUUUGGAAUAAAAUCAUAUCCCUAUAACAUUAACAUAGAUACUAUUCUUCACUGUUAUAACCAUCACACCGUAGGAACACAAUUAUAAAGUAAGCACUUCGCCUUCAGCAUUGCGAUGCAAUUAUUAUGAAUACAAACAUUGCAAAGAUUGUAUUGUCGAUCAUUUUUAUUUAAGUUCUUAUACAAGAAUUUCAACUUAAUGUGAUUUUCUUAUACUGUCAAGCAGACCUAAGUUGUUAUAGCGAUCAAAUAAUUUAAUUCCAUUUCAGCUCGAAAUGUUAGAAUUCAUUGAAAAAUUUGAGUUCAAAUAAUUUAGCUCUUAAUUUUUGACUUACUAUUUUGACCUUCAAGUUUUGGUUUUAUCAAAAAGUAACUCUGAUAUUAAAUACUUACUGCUAAAUAUGAUAACCACAAAGAACAAGCAACCUUUGAUUUAAUUGCUUGCAAAGUCUAAGUGAAUGCUUUAAUUGUUAUGAGCUAGUUGCUUCCAUAAGUAUUGCUCUUGAUUAAUUUGAAAAAUAAAUAGGAAAAUAUUAGUUAAUGCUAGAAUAUAUGAAAUCAUAAAGAUAGAAAAGAGGCAAACAGUUGAAUAUUCAAAAGAAACUACAAUAAGUACCAAAAGUCGGCUGAAUCCUUGUCCUGCCAAAAUCUGAGGUGAUGUCAUUGCAAAGUUUUCAGCAAUAAGUGUACAAGAUGAGCACUCCUGCAUACAUGAAUGCUUUUAAAAAAGAUCCCCUAGACUAUUUUAUAACAGAGGAGAUUUAAAAGCAUAUGUUAAAAGGAGGGGGAGGGAGCUUCACAAGAAACACACAUGACAAAUAACAAAAGCCAACUUAUUUUUGUUGAGAGUAAAUGUUCUUAGUUGCUGUUGCUAACAAGACAUUCUACUGCUUCGAGAAUGAAAUUCCCACUCUUAAACAAUUUGAGAUAAAAGAAUAAUUAAGUAUGAACAGUGUUGUUCAUGUCAUUACUUUUCUUGAAAAAAAAUAAACUCUAUAGUAAAAUAAAAUAUACAAUCUUUUGCUUUUAACUUUAUUUAGAAAACAAGAAAUAGAAAAAGCAUCAACCAGAAGGAGCCUAACUUCGCUACUUUAAAAAUUAAGACACAUUUUCAUAACAAUUUUGUUCUUUACCAACAAUUAACAAAGCAAAAAGGAAUAGUAAAAUUUGAGCUUAGAAAAUUGGUAAUGCUAUUAAAGAUCCCUUCUUUGUCAUCAUUCAUGCCUAACACAUUUUUAGUGUGAUACUAUGUCUGAUGAUGCAUAUUGAAUAUUAAAGAUUAAAAAUAGAAGGCACACUUGACAAUCAUUUGGAUGACAAUAUUUUAACCGGACUAUAAACUGUACUAAUUAUCAACAAAAUACUUUAUGAAAAGAGUUAACCAAGCAAAUUACUGGAAAUUUCUAUGCCUUGAUUGGAUAAAAGAGCUCCAAUCGCACUGGAAUAGCAUUCAAGUGUAAGAGAAUCCAUCCUAGAAUUAUUUUCCAAAUAAAAAGGAAACAAAUCCUUCUAUCACUUUAAACAGAACCCACUCAAUUGAGUAACACUAUGAACACCAAGUGCAUGUUUCAUGAAUAUUGAUAACAUGAUGAAACAUAAUAAAAAAAACAAGAUCAUGACAAAUAAAAAGGUAAUAUUAAAAAUAUAUUGAAUGGGAUAUACACGCAAAAGAUAGCUUUAUGCUUUAACAAGCACUAUACGAAGCUAAAACAUACUGUAAUAGACCUACAUGUGUUCAUUAAGAAGAAAAUAAAAAAAAAAACCAAAAAGUGAUAAUGUGAAUGAGAAAAAUGAUACAACUCAAGUGAGUUCUAACUUUCAGUAAACUUAUGGUUUGCUUUUACCACGAUCAAAAAUCCUUUUGCAAGGGAUGGAGCAGUGACGAUGAAGGAGACGGAGAUCAAUUGCAAAUGCACUGUCGACGGUGAAGCAGUAGAUGGAAGACCAGACAAACGAACAGCAACAAAC
rnacentral:lncRNA from 1 species